UACGUAGGGUGCGAGCGUUGUCCGGAAUUAUUGGGCGUAAAGGGCUCGUAGGCGGUUUGUCACGUCGGGAGUGAAAACUCAGGGCUCAACCCUGAGCCUGCUUCCGAUACGGGCAGACUAGAGGUAUGCAGGGGAGAACGGAAUUCCUGGUGUAGCGGUGAAAUGCGCAGAUAUCAGGAAGAACACCGAUGGCGAAGGCAGCUCUCUGGGACGGUACUGACGCUGAGACGCGAAAGCGUGGGGAGCGAACAGG
rnacentral:rRNA from 1 species